AUUAAAUAUAAUUUAUGUUUUAUAAUUUGUUUAUAAUUAAAUUUAUAUGUAAAUUUAUGUGUGAAUUUAAGAUAUAUUUAAAAUAUGUUUUAAUUAGAUUUUAAAUUUCAGUAAUUAAUUUUAUAUUUAUAUUAAUGUUUUAAAGAAAUUUAAUAUUAGUUAAUUUAUUUUAAUAUUAGUAAAUAUUGUGCCAGCAACUGCGGUUAUACAAUAAAUAUAAAUAAAUUUUUUUUUAUUAUAGUUAAAUAAUAAAAAUUUAAAUAAUUAAAUUUAAUUGAAUUUUUUUAGGUAAAAUUUUAAAAUUUAUAAAUUUUAAAAUAAUUAAUUAAUUUAAUCUAAUAAAUUUUAAAUAUAAACUAGGAUUAGAUACCCUAUUAUAAAAAUUAAAUUUUAAAUAAUAUUAAAGUAGUAAUAGAUUAGUCUUGAAACUUAAAAAAUUUGGCGGUAAUUUAGUCUAUUCAGAGGAACUUGUUUAAUAAUUGAUAAUCCACAAUAUAUCUUACUUAAUUUUAUUUUAUUUUGUAUAUCGUUGUCUUUAGAAUAUUUUAAAAAAAUAAUAAUUUUCUUAUUUUUGAAUUUAAAAAUAUGUCAAAUCAAGGUGCAGAUUAUAGUUAAGAAUAAAUGAGUUACAAUAAUAUUUAAUUAUACGGUUUAUAUUUUGAAAUAAAAUAUAUUAAGGUGGAUUUGAUAGUAAAUUAAUUAAAGGUAAAUUUAUUGAGUUUAGCUCUAAAUUAUGCACAUAUUGCCCGUCGCUCUCGUAAUUAAUAUGAGAUAAGUCGUAACAUAGUAGAAGUACUGGAAAGUGUUUCUAGAAUAUC
rnacentral:ncRNA from 1 species